rnacentral:lncRNA from 1 species
UGUAGAGAUGGUGUCUUGCUCUGCUGCCCAGGCUGGUCUCGAACUUCUGGCCUCAAGCAGUCCUCCUGCCUUAGUUUCCCAAAGCACUGGGAUUACAGGUGUGAGCCACUGCCCCCGGCCAGCACCCGUCUUCUGGAACAUUUGUAAGCAUUUCUGUUGGGUGUGUACUUGCGCGUGGAAUUGCUGGCUCUCAGUUAUGCACAUUUCUUAGAAGAUCCUGCCAGUCCUUCAUCCCAGACCCCGACCCCAGCGUGGAAAACGCAGUGCAUCCUCAACGCCUAGUGUUUGCGGCUGUGGCGGCUCAUGAUCGACUUGGAAGGCCCACAGUGUGUGGUGUGGAGUUUUGCAGGGAGCCAGUGACACUGCCCACCUUCGAUCCAGACCUAACCUUGAUCCUGUUCUCUGAGGCCACCUUACCAAAACCUUGACUUACCCGUCUUAGAUCACUUACCCUGGGGGAAAUGUGCCGCAAGCUCACGAGGGCACUCAGCCAGCCUACAAAGGUUACCAUGGCAGAGAACUGAGGCCUCCUGCCAGCAGCCAGCAGCAGCUGACCAGCCGCGAGGGCCCCUCCGGGAAGGAGAGCUUUCUGUGUUUCUUCCUGUACCCCAUAUAUGUUGACGUGAUACGUUUUACUUUCUGAUUUCCCUUGUGAGAUCUUUGGUCUGUGGGUUAUUUGGAAGUAUGGUUUAAUUUCCAAACAUUUAGGGUUUUCCUCCAGAUUUUGUUGUUGUUUCUGGUUUCUGGUUUUAAUUCCACUGUGGUCUCAGAAUAUACUUUGCUGACUUCCCUCUCUUUAGAUUUGUUGAGCCCUGUUUUGUGCUUCAUAGUGGGAGGGUGAUUGUAUGUGCACGUGCAGAUAUGUGUGGCCCCCACACGGUAUCUCCAGCUAUCCGUGUCUUGCCUCUCCGUGCCCAGUGCACCCUUCUCAGCCCUGCCGUGUGACCCUGGGCUGGGCCCUCCCUGUACCCUCCUUUGCAGGUUGGCACAGUGUUUGGCUCUGUCACUGGAAGGAGCUGGAGGGACUCCACAGGAGGGAGGGGCCUGCCCUCCUGGUUCCAGUGUGCUUGCUUUUCCUGGCUUCCGUGGUGUGUGCCUGCCAGCCUCAUGGUGGGGGCGGGGGCUCUCAGUGACAGUCUGCAGGAGUUUAGCAACACCCAGGUUCAUUCACCACGGUGGGAAGGAUUCCUGCUAAGCUUCCUUGCCUCUGUCCAGCUCCCAGGGCGUCUGCCUCCCUCCUGCCCCAGGGAGAGCUUCUGGGUGAGUCUCGCUGGCACUCCUGCCCCGGGCUUCCUGCUCUCAGGCCUUGGCCUGCUGCACCUUGGCCAACUGCACCACCCGGCACAUCAUAGCCCCACUCAGGUCAGAGCUGCGUCUCAGCCGACGUGGGGUUCCGAGGUUCUCACCAAGAUCCAGACUCAACGCUUGUGGGUUUGUUGUCUCAGUCCUGGCGGUGGAGGUUCUCCCGAGGCCUCAGCGCCUCCGUUCUCGGAAGUCUCUUUACAUGUUAGUGGAACCCUCUGUUCCUGUUGAAUCAUUCUUCGUGUUAAAUGUUUCUAUCUCUUGACUGAUACAUGAUAGUCAUCAUGUAUGUAUUCUGCGGCUGCUUUUGUUUUUUUCUCUUUAUCCCUGGUUUUCUGUAAUUUGAUAAGCUUUAGGGUAUGUGUGUGUGUUUUGGGGGUUUGUCAAGAUUUGUAGGCUUUGUCAUUUUUAUGCAAUUUGGAAAUAUUCUAGCUAUUCGGUCUCUUCCCCUGCCUCCUGCAGUCCCAGGUACUCGAAUGGGCUGCUUGCUGUGGACUCAUGGGUCCGUGAGUCUGCUCAUCUUCUUCAGUUUGCGUUUCAUUUUUGGUAGAUUCUGUUUCCACGUCUUCAAGCCCACUGAUCUUUUAAGCUGCUGUUAAGCUAUGGCCAUUUUCUGUAUGAGCCAUUGUGUUUUUUCAUCUCUAUAAAUUUGGUUUUGGUAUUUAAAAAAAUGUCUUCCAGCUAGGCUGGCGGCUCACACCUGUGAUCCCAACACUUUGGGAAGUUGAGGCAGGGGGAUUGCUUGAGCCCAGGAGUUUGAGACUAGCCUGGGCAAUACAGUGAGACCUCAUCUUUAAAAAUAAUUAAAAAGGUCAGGUGCGGUGGCUCACGCCUGUAAUCCCAGCAUUUUGGGAGGACAGUGGAUCACAAGGUUAGGAGUUUGAGACCAGCUUGGCCAAUAUGGUGAAACCCUGUCUCUACUAAAAAUAUAAAAAAUUAGCUGGGCACAUGCCUGUUGUCCCAGUUAUUUGAGAGGCU